rnacentral:rRNA from 1 species
AGGCCGGUCAUCGGAAUGGGUACAAUUUAAACCCUUUAACGAGUAUCUAUGAGAGGGCAAGUCUGGUGCCAGCAGCCGCGGUAAUUCCAGCUCUCAAAGUGCAUAGAAUUAUUGCUGCGGUUAAAAAGCUCGUAGUUGGAUCUGUGCCAUAGGACGGGGUCCACCUUCGGGUGCGUACUCCGCUCCUAGGCUUUUUGCUGGUUUUCCCGUCGUAGCCUUCACUGGUUGCGGCGGGUGGCUGGCGAGUUUACUUUGAGGAAAUCAGAGUGCUCAAUACAGGCGUCUAGCUUGAAUGAUUGUGCAUGGAAUAAUAGAAAAGGAUUUCGGUCCUCUUUUAUUGGUUUUGUGGACUGAGAUAAUGGUUAACAGGGACAAACGGGGGCAUUCGUAUCGCUGCGUGAGAGGUGAAAUUCUUGGACCGUAGCGAGACGCCCUACUGCGAAAGCAUUUGCCAAGAAUGUCUUCAUUAAUCAAGAACGAAAGUCAGAGGUUCGAAGGCGAUCAGAUACCGCCCUAGUUCUGACCGUAAACGAUGCCAACUAGCGAUCCGCCGGUGGAUUUUUAGCCCUGGUGGGUAGCUUCCCGGAAACGAAAGUCUUCCGGUUCCGGGGGAAGUAUGGUUGCAAAGCUGAAACUUAAAGGAAUUGACGGAAGGGCACCACCAGGAGUGGAGCCUGCGGCUUAAUUUGACCCAACACGGGGAAACUCACCCGGCCCGGACACCGUAAGGAUUGACAGAUUGAUAGCUCUUUCAUGAUUCGGUGGUUGGUGGUGCAUGGCCGUUCUUAGUUCGUGGAUCGAUUUGUCUGGUUUAUUCCGAUAACGAGCGAGACUCUAGCCUACUAAAUAGUAACGAGAUUGCCAUUGUCUUAGUUGCUUCUUAGAGGGAUUUUCGGUGUUUAGCCGCACGAGAUUGAGCAAUAACAGGUCUGUGAUGCCCUUAGAUGUCCGGGGCUGCACGCGCGCUACACUGGCGAAAUCAGCGUGCUGUAUCCAUUCUCGAAAGAGAUUGGUAAACCCAUGAAAAUUUGCCGUGCUUGGGAUCGGAAAUUGCAAUUAUUUUCCGUGAACGAGGAAUUCCAAGUAAGUGCGAGUCAUCAACUCGCUCUGAUUACGUCCCUGCCCUUUGUACACACCGCCCGUCGCUGCCCGGGACUGAGCCAUUUCGAGAAGAUCAGGGACCGGUGGGCUGUGGCCUCUUCGGAGGUUCGGUCCGUUGGAAACUGAUUUGAUCGCAGUGGCUUGAACCGGGCAAAAGUCGUAACAAGGUAGCCGUAGGUGAACCUGCGGCUG